rnacentral:rRNA from 1 species
UUCCGGUUGAUCCCGCCGGACCCGACUGCUAUUUGGGUGAGGAUAAGCCAUGCGAGUUGAAUGGGAAACCUAAAGUUCCCAUGGCAAACUGCUCAGUAACACGUGAUCAACUUACCCUAUAGAGAAAAAUAACCUCGGGAAACUGAGGAUAAUGUUUCAUAGUUGAAUUGGCUUGGAAAAGUUUUUCGACGAAAGGGGUAAAAAAAAUGGUUUUUAUCUGCUAUAGGAUAGGAUCGUGUUCGAUUAUGGUUGUUGGUGAGGUAAUGGCUCACCAAGCCGAUAAUCGAUAGGGGCCGUGAGAGCGGGAGCCCCGAGAUGGGUACUGAGACAACGACCCAGGCCUUACGAGGCGCAGCAGGCGCGAAACCUCCGCAAUACACGAAAGUGUGACGGGGUUACCCAAAGUGUUCAAUUUUGAACUGUGGUAGGUGAGUAAUGUUCCCUACUAGAAAGGAGAGGGCAAGGCUGGUGCCAGCCGCCGCGGUAAAACCAGCUCUUCAAGUGGUCGGGAUAAUUAUUGGGCUUAAAGUGUCCGUAGCCGGUUUGGUAAGUUCCUGGUAAAAUCGGGUAGCUUAACUAUCUAUAUGCUAGGAAUACUACUAUACUAGAGGGCGGGAGAGGUCUGAGGUACUACAGGGGUAGGGGUGAAAUCUUAUAAUCCUUGUUGGACCACCAGUGGCGAAAGCGUCAGACUGGAAACGCGCCUGACGGUGAGGGACGAAAGCCAGGGGAGCGAACCGGAUUAGAUACCCGGGUAGUCCUGGCCGUAAACGAUGCAUUACUAGUGAUGGCACGGCCAUGAGCCGUGUCAGUGCCGUAAGGAAACCGUUCAAGUGUGCCGCCUCGGGAGUACGGUCGCAAGGCUAAACUUUAAGGGAUUUGGCCGGGGA